GAUUAAGUUAUUAAGGGCGCACGGUGGAUGCCUUGGCACUAGAAGCCGAUGAAGGACGUUACUAACGACGAUAUGCUUUGGGGAGCUGUAAGUAAGCUUUGAUCCAGAGAUUUCCGAAUGGGGAAACCCAGCAUGAGUUAUGUCAUGUUAUCGAUAUGUGAAUACAUAGCAUAUCAGAAGGCACACCCGGAGAACUGAAACAUCUUAGUACCCGGAGGAAGAGAAAGAAAAUUCGAUUCCCUUAGUAGCGGCGAGCGAAACGGGAAGAGCCCAAACCAACAAGCUUGCUUGUUGGGGUUGUAGGACACUCUAUACGGAGUUACAAAGGACGACAUUAGACGAAUCAUCUGGAAAGAUGAAUCAAAGAAGGUAAUAAUCCUGUAGUCGAAAAUGUUGUCUCUCUUGAGUGGAUCCUGAGUACGACGGAGCACGUGAAAUUCCGUCGGAAUCUGGGAGGACCAUCUCCUAAGGCUAAAUACUCUCUAGUGACCGAUAGUGAACCAGUACCGUGAGGGAAAGGUGAAAAGCACCCCGGAAGGGGAGUGAAAUAGAACCUGAAACCGUGUGCUUACAAGUAGUCAGAGCCCGUUAAUGGGUGAUGGCGUGCCUUUUGUAGAAUGAACCGGCGAGUUACGAUUUGAUGCAAGGUUAAGCAGUAAAUGUGGAGCCGUAGCGAAAGCGAGUCUGAAUAGGGCGUUUAGUAUUUGGUCGUAGACCCGAAACCAGGUGAUCUAUCCUUGGUCAGGUUGAAGUUCAGGUAACACUGAAUGGAGGACCGAACCGACUUACGUUGAAAAGUGAGCGGAUGAACUGAGGGUAGCGGAGAAAUUCCAAUCGAACCUGGAGAUAGCUGGUUCUCUCCGAAAUAGCUUUAGGGCUAGCCUCAAGUGAUGAUUAUUGGAGGUAGAGCACUGUUUGGACGAGGGGCCCCUCUCGGGUUACCGAAUUCAGACAAACUCCGAAUGCCAAUUAAUUUAACUUGGGAGUCAGAACAUGGGUGAUAAGGUCCGUGUUCGAAAGGGAAACAGCCCAGACCACCAGCUAAGGUCCCAAAAUAUAUGUUAAGUGGAAAAGGAUGUGGCGUUGCCCAGACAACUAGGAUGUUGGCUUAGAAGCAGCCAUCAUUUAAAGAGUGCGUAAUAGCUCACUAGUCGAGUGACACUGCGCCGAAAAUGUACCGGGGCUAAACAUAUUACCGAAGCUGUGGAUUGUCCUUUGGACAAUGGUAGGAGAGCGUUCUAAGGGCGUUGAAGCAUGAUCGUAAGGACAUGUGGAGCGCUUAGAAGUGAGAAUGCCGGUGUGAGUAGCGAAAGACGGGUGAGAAUCCCGUCCACCGAUUGACUAAGGUUUCCAGAGGAAGGCUCGUCCGCUCUGGGUUAGUCGGGUCCUAAGCUGAGGCCGACAGGCGUAGGCGAUGGAUAACAGGUUGAUAUUCCUGUACCACCUAUAAUCGUUUUAAUCGAUGGGGGGACGCAGUAGGAUAGGCGAAGCGUGCGAUUGGAUUGCACGUCUAAGCAGUAAGGCUGAGUAUUAGGCAAAUCCGGUACUCGUUAAGGCUGAGCUGUGAUGGGGAGAAGACAUUGAGUCUUCGAGUCGUUGAUUUCACACUGCCGAGAAAAGCCUCUAGAUAGAAAAUAGGUGCCCGUACCGCAAACCGACACAGGUAGUCAAGAUGAGAAUUCUAAGGUGAGCGAGCGAACUCUCGUUAAGGAACUCGGCAAAAUGACCCCGUAACUUCGGGAGAAGGGGUGCUCUUUAGGGUUAACGCCCAGAAGAGCCGCAGUGAAUAGGCCCAAGCGACUGUUUAUCAAAAACACAGGUCUCUGCUAAACCGUAAGGUGAUGUAUAGGGGCUGACGCCUGCCCGGUGCUGGAAGGUUAAGAGGAGUGGUUAGCUUCUGCGAAGCUACGAAUCGAAGCCCCAGUAAACGGCGGCCGUAACUAUAACGGUCCUAAGGUAGCGAAAUUCCUUGUCGGGUAAGUUCCGACCCGCACGAAAGGCGUAACGAUUUGGGCACUGUCUCAACGAGAGACUCGGUGAAAUCAUAGUACCUGUGAAGAUGCAGGUUACCCGCGACAGGACGGAAAGACCCCGUGGAGCUUUACUGUAGCCUGAUAUUGAAAUUCGGCACAGCUUGUACAGGAUAGGUAGGAGCCUUUGAAACGUGAGCGCUAGCUUACGUGGAGGCGCUGGUGGGAUACUACCCUAGCUGUGUUGGCUUUCUAACCCGCACCACUUAUCGUGGUGGGAGACAGUGUCAGGCGGGCAGUUUGACUGGGGCGGUCGCCUCCUAAAAGGUAACGGAGGCGCUCAAAGGUUCCCUCAGAAUGGUUGGAAAUCAUUCAUAGAGUGUAAAGGCAUAAGGGAGCUUGACUGCGAGACCUACAAGUCGAGCAGGGUCGAAAGACGGACUUAGUGAUCCGGUGGUUCCGCAUGGAAGGGCCAUCGCUCAACGGAUAAAAGCUACCCCGGGGAUAACAGGCUUAUCUCCCCCAAGAGUUCACAUCGACGGGGAGGUUUGGCACCUCGAUGUCGGCUCAUCGCAUCCUGGGGCUGUAGUCGGUCCCAAGGGUUGGGCUGUUCGCCCAUUAAAGCGGUACGCGAGCUGGGUUCAGAACGUCGUGAGACAGUUCGGUCCCUAUCCGUCGUGGGCGUAGGAAAUUUGAGAGGAGCUGUCCUUAGUACGAGAGGACCGGGAUGGACAUACCUCUGGUGUACCAGUUGUCGUGCCAACGGCAUAGCUGGGUAGCUAUGUGUGGACGGGAUAAGUGCUGAAAGCAUCUAAGCAUGAAGCCCCCCUCAAGAUGAGAUUUCCCAACUUCGGUUAUAAGAUCCCUCAAAGAUGAUGAGGUUAAUAGGUUCGAGGUGGAAGCAUGGUGACAUGUGGAGCUGACGAAUACUAAUCGAUCGAAGACUUAAUCAA
rnacentral:rRNA from 1 species